GAGAUUUUUUACUACAACUCUGCCUUUCGAUAGUGUAUGUGCUACUUGCCCAUGAGAUUAAAGAUAUCAAACUCAGUGGUAGUAAUUCUGCGAUCAGAAGGUUACCUUCUUUCUAUUGGCACUUAACCUAAGACAGAGUCUUUCUUUUCUCCUUUUUUUUAAGAAUACCUUGAAUCUUCCUAAACUUGGAUCAAUGAUCUUUUCUUUUUUCU
rnacentral:misc_RNA from 1 species